UGGGGAAUAUUGGACAAUGGGGGCAACCCUGAUCCAGCCAUGCCGCGUGAGUGAUGAAGGCCCUAGGGUUGUAAAGCUCUUUUAGCGGGGAAGAUAAUGACGGUACCCGCAGAAAAAGCCCCGGCUAACUUCGUGCCAGCAGCCGCGGUAAUACGAAGGGGGCUAGCGUUGCUCGGAAUCACUGGGCGUAAAGCGCACGUAGGCGGCUUCUCAAGUCAGGGGUGAAAUCCUGGAGCUCAACUCCAGAACUGCCUUUGAUACUGAGAGGCUCGAGUCCGGGAGAGGUGAGUGGAACUGCGAGUGUAGAGGUGAAAUUCGUAGAUAUUCGCAAGAACACCAGUGGCGAAGGCGGCUCACUGGCCCGGUACUGACGCUGAGGUGCGAAAGCGUGGGGAGCAGACAGGAUUAGAUACCCUGGUAGUCCACGCCGUAAACGAUGGAUGCUAGCCGUUGGCGAGCUUGCUCGUCAGUGGCGCAGCUAACGCUUUAAGCAUCCC
rnacentral:rRNA from 1 species